rnacentral:rRNA from 1 species
UACGGGGGGAGCAAGCGUUGUUCGGAUUUACUGGGCGUAAAGGGCGCGUAGGCGGCCACUGCAAGUCAGUUGUGAAAUCUCCGGGCUUAACCCGGAAAGGUCAACUGAUACUGCAGGGCUAGAGUGCAGAAGGGGCAACUGGAAUUCUCGGUGUAGCGGUGAAAUGCGUAGAUAUCGAGAGGAACACCUGCGGCGAAGGCGGGUUGCUGGCUGACACUGACGCUGAGGCGCGAAAGCCAGGGAGGCGAACGGG